AACGAACGCUGGCGGCAUGCCUAACACAUGCAAGUCGAACGAGACCUUCGGGUCUAGUGGCGCACGCGUGCGUAACGCGUGGGAACCUGCCCUUAGUUUCCUGCUAACUCCCCGAAAGGGGUUCUAAUACCGGAUAAUGUCUUCCGACCAAAGAUUUAUCGCCUUUGGAUGGGCCCGCGUUGGAUUAGCUAGUUGGUAGGGUAAAAGCCUACCAAGGCGACGAUCCAUAGCUGGUCUGAGAGGAUGAUCAGCCACACUGGGACUGAGACACGGACCAGACUCGUACGGGAGGCAGCAGUGGGGAAUAUUGGACAAUGGGCGAAAGCCUGAUACAGCAAUGCCGCGUGAGUGAUGAAGGCCUUAGGGUUGUAAAGCUCUUUUACCCGGGAUGAUAAUGACAGUACCGGGAGAAUAAGCACCGGCUAACUCCGUG
rnacentral:rRNA from 1 species